rnacentral:rRNA from 1 species
UACGUAGGGACCAAGCGUUGUUCGGAUUUACUGGGCGUAAAGGGCGCGUAGGCGGCGCGGUAAGUCACUUGUGAAAUCUCUGAGCUUAACUCAGAACGGCCAAGUGAUACUGCAGUGCUAGAGUGUGGAAGGGGCAAUCGGAAUUCUUGGUGUAGCGGUGAAAUGCGUAGAUAUCAAGAGGAACACCUGAGGUGAAGACGGGUUGCUGGGCCAACACUGACGCUGAUGCGCGAAAGCAUGGGGAGCGAACAGG